GGGUGUAAAGGGUGCGCAGGCGGUUCUGUAAGUCAGAUGUGAAAUCCCCGGGCUUAACCUGGGAACUGCGUUUGAAACUGCAGAGCUAGAGUGCGGCAGAGGGAGGUGGAAUUCCAUGUGUAGCAGUGAAAUGCGUAGAGAUAUGGAAGAACAUCGAUGGCGAAGGCAACCUCCUGGGCUAGCACUGACGCUCAUGCACGAAAGCGUGGGGAGCAAACAGGAUUAGAUACCCUGGUAGUCCACGCCCUAAACUAUGUCAACUAGUUGUCGGGUCUUAAUAGACUUGGUAACGUAGCUAACGCGUGAAGUUGACCGCCUGGGGAGUACGGUCGCAAGAUUAAAACU
rnacentral:rRNA from 1 species